rnacentral:rRNA from 1 species
CUUUACUGUAGCCUGGUAUUGGGUUCGGGCUUUGACUGCGCAGGAUAGGUGGGAGACUAUGAAGCAAUCCUUGUGGGGGUUGCUGAGUCAACGGUGAGAUACCACUCUGUCAGAGCUAGAAUUCUAACUAAAUGCCGUUAUCCGGCUUGGAACCGUAUCAGGUGGGCAGUUUGACUGGGCGGUCGCCUCCUAAAAGGUAACGGAGGCGCGCAAAGGUUCUCUCAGGCUGGUUGGAAAUCAGCCGUAGAGUGUAAAGGCAGAAGGGAGCUUGACUGCAAGAGCUACAACUCGAGCAGGGUGGAAACACGGCCUUAGUGAUCCGACGGCGCUGAGUGGAAGGGCCGUCGCUCAACGGAUAAAAGUUA